UCUGACACUACACUGUACAGGAGUGUGCUAGGCAAGCUAAACUUCAUUGCCAGGUGUUCAAGACCAGACAUUGCUGUUAGCUGUAAUUUGCUAAGCAGACAAGUCAACAAUCCUAGUGUCAAGGAUUGGUAUGCUCUGAAACGCAUAGCGCGGUAUUUGAAAGGCACUAUGCAUUACAGACUGAGAUUUAACAAUCAGAAGUCUGGUGGUCUUGAGAUAUUUGCAGAUGCAAGUUUUGGAAGUGACGCUACAGACAGGAAAAGUACGUCUGGAGUUUGCUACAUGUACAAUCAGAGUCUGUUUGAUUGGUCAUGCAAGAAGCAAACAACAGUUAGCUUAAGUACUUGUGAAGCCGAACUGAAUGCACUGUCUUAUUCACUUAAGGAUUGUGAAUGGUUAGUACAAUUGUGCAAAGAUAUGAAAAUUCCUGUCAAAUGUCCAAUCCAGGUUUACCAGGACAACAAAGCAUGUUUGGCUUUGCUAAAGUCUGAAGGUUGUAAGCAAAGCACAAAGCACUUGCAAUUAAAGUUGCAGCAUGCUAGGGAAUGUAUUCAGAAGGGACUCGUAACGGUGUCCUAUAUGCCAGGUAAUGAAAUUCCUGCUGAUGUAUUGUCCAAGAUUGUAUCAAGGGAUCAACACUGUACCUAUGUGCAGAAGUUGGGUUUGUACUGAUACUGUACGAACACGCUGCCCAGUGAUGUUCACAGAAAGGGGGAGGAUGUUGGUUUCUAUUUCCCUCACUGAGCAGCAACUGCAGUCACAAGACAUUGUUUUGCAUUCCACAGUCUGUACUGUUGGAGUUUCUCACGGGAAAGGGAGACUGGAUGUGACGUACACUGGUUUCCUGUUUUUUCACUGUGAUUCUCUCCAAGCUGUUGAGGAGAGAGGAUGCAUUUUUCUGCUCCUGAAGAGGCAAGAUGUCUUUCUGUAAUAUACCAGCUUUGAACUGUAAAUAAAAGCAAUAUAUGGAGUAUGCAACACAUUUUCCUCAUCCUUCCGCUGGGCACGACAG
rnacentral:lncRNA from 1 species